CGACGGCGCCCAAAUGACGCAACACGUCGAGCGCGGUGGCAUGACCGAUACGCCACUUGUCCUUUUUGCGGUCCUUGUACCGCACCGUCGACUCUGCCGAAAAGGUGCAGCCGAUAAAGUGGCUGUCGACGACCUCGGCGCCCUCCCACCGACAGGCGGCAAACCAACAACGGUAAAAAGACGCAGCGGUCGAGUCGCACGCCGCAGAGGUCGACGCCGUCCAUGACCGCACCGGCCACGCGCACGACCAAGUUGUAACACGCAAAGCAGACUUUUUUUCUCUGAUAUAAAAAAAAAGAGCAAAGCCCGGCGUGCGCAGAUAGGGCGAGGCACCGCGACAGACGGGCGACCCGCAGUCGUCGGCGCCCACCACGCCGACGCACCGUUGUUGUCGAGCAAAAAAAAAGAGUAGCAAUAAAAAAUAGGCGGCAUAAUUUGAG
rnacentral:lncRNA from 1 species